AUCACCAAGCUCGUCAUGCUAGAGCAUUUUCAAUGUGCUCCCCAACGAGAAGGCGACGACGCAUUUAUAUGUCAAUCCAUAUCAACUUUCGAUGCCAUUGACUGCGCCUACCAUGGUGACCAUGGGUAAUGGGGAAUCAGGGUUCGAUUCCAUACAGGGACCCUGACAAAUGGCUACCACAUGCAAGGAAGGCAGCAGGCAUGCAAAUGACCCGCUCCCGACGCGGGAAGGUAAUGACGACAAAUAACAAUACAGGACUCUUUAGAGGCCCUGUAAUUGUAAUGAGUCCACUUGAAAUCCUUUAACUCUGAUCAAUUGGAGGGAAGUCUGGUGCAGACCCACUGUCCCUGCAGCUGAAACUCCACU